rnacentral:lncRNA from 11 species
AUGGGCUGUUUUUCACCCUUUUGUCCUGUAAAUAAUGGGUCGUCCGACAUGAACCUGUACUAUUUGAAUUCUGCUUCUAACUCCAGGUCAUUUUGGAUCAAGUUCAAAACCAUCUCCCUUUUCCCUGAAGGACAUGGACAUGAGUCAAAGAGACGGGCGAGUGUCCCCUCCGCCCCCUCUGAAGAGGUCAUCGCCCGAUUAUCCCAAAAGAAGAAGCAAAGGGAAGGGAAGGCACCCACGGUCGUGGUCAGUGUUAAUGAAUGGCCAGAGGCAGGGAGGGACUGGGAGGCUUGGUGCCCUUCGCAGAGAGAGAGAGUCUUGGGUUCAGAUCUGUCCGGAGCCUCCUUUCGUGCAGCCAUGAAGCUCCUGGUUGUGCUCUUUGCUUUGACCGUGGUCACAGGAGGCCAAGCCGUGACAGCCAGUUCAGAGCUCAGCUUAGGAACUUUGAUUGGAAAAUUUUCCACGUUCGAGUUUAAUUCCCUCUUUGCCGUGUAUGGGAAAGUAGCGAAAAUCCUCCAAGCUUUGGAUACCCCGGUUGUCAUCGAACAGCUGAACAAAAUCCCUGGAAAACUAGAGAGAGCGCUUCCUCCUGAGAUCAGUGAAGUGAAGGAGAUCUUGUCUGAUCUCUCUAAAACCUACAAGGUGCACACUUAUCGGGUUUUUGAUGAUUGGAGCAGCCGCUAUUUCCAGGAAGGUGAAGCUGUCAUGAAGGCGCUGGAGUUGUACGUUGACCCAGUGGCCUCCAAGGCGCUGUGGUGCGUGGAGUGGCUGGAGGAGAACAUCAAGCCCGUGGUGAUUCAAAUGUACCAGCCGUUUGAUAGCUCCCUCAAUCAGGCACUGGAGUCCCUGGGAAGCACGCUGUCCUCUUACACCGAGCAGGAAGAAAUUGGGGAAAUCCUCCAGACCUCGCUGGAUGAAGCGGCCAAGCUGUUCCGGAUGGGGAUGGAGAACCUCAACAAGCAGUUGAAGCCCUACUUGAUCCCAUUCCUGAAGGAGUACAAGAAGUACGACCCAGCGCUCAGAGAGUGGCUGGAAGCACCGUUGUUCCCCCCUCCAAAAGAAGACUAACGCCCAAAAGGGAAAUCCUAGGGGAAACUGGCCAGGGAGUGACCAUCGGGUCAAGCAAUAUGGCUGCCUCCUCAUCACAGAAUAAAUUUUUCCAUUUAUUUGGGAGGUUUGAAUACCUGUCAAACUUUAUGAAAUGUGCUGCACUUUUCUGUACGCGUUAUGUCAGUUCUUUCUAGCAAUUACGCUGUCCUAUCGUCCACCUGGCCAGAUGAAUAAAAGUUCUGUUACUGCCUUAAAACCAAGUCAUGUUUCUCCAUGUUUCUACACUGCCCCCUGGUGUCAGAUAGCUGAUUUUGACAACACACAGGAUAAACAUCCCCAGUUCUUUAAGCUUCAAGAGUUCAGGAUGUUUGGCCUGCAUUUUACCAAAAUCAGAGGGAUUCAUUGGAUCCUUUUCAUCGAUCUCCUCUGGACACCUUCCAGCUUAGAGUCAAAAUAAUAAUAAUAAUAAUAAUAAUAAUAAUAAUAAUAAUAACAACAACAACAACAACAUUGAACUUCAAAGACUCUUGCAGAAACCAGUGCAGAUGGUCCCGGUGGUGAUGGGCACAUUGGGUGCCAUGCCAAAAGAUCUCAGCCGGCAUUUGGAAACAAUAGACAUUGACAAAAUUACAAUCUGUCAACUGCAAAAGGCCACCCUACUGGGAUCUGCACGCAUCAUCCGAAAAUACAUCACACAGUCCUAAACGCUCGGGAAGUGUUUGACUUGUGAUUUUGUGAUAUGAAAUCCAGCAUAUCUAUCUUGUUUGCUGUGUCAUACAAUAAAAUAAUAAUAAUAAUAAUAAUAAUAAUAAUAAUAAUAAUAAUAAUAAUGAUGAUGACUUUAUUUUUGUAUCCCACCUCCAUCUCUCCAAGGGGACCCGGAGCGGCUUACAUGGGGACGAGCCCAGUCAAUCAUGGAAUAUAAUCAUAUUAAAAUACAUACACCGUAUCAUUAAAACAACAAUAUCCCUCUUAACUUGUGGUGCCCAGAACUGGACACAGUGUUAUUCCAGGUAAGGUUUGAUCAAAGCAGGACAGAGGGACGGCAUGACUUCCAUUGAUCUCUAGACACUAAACUGGCCCAAAAUCACAUUGGCUUUCUAAGCUGCUGCAUCACAUUGUUGGCUUAUGCUUAACUUGGACUGGAGCAGACAGGAGCAGAAUUCAAAACGAUCUUGACAGACUAGAGAGAUGGGCCAAAACUAACAAAAUGAAGUUCAACAGGGACAAAUGCAAGAUACUUCACUUCGGCAGAAAAAAUGGAAAUCAAAGAGACAGAAUGGGGGACGAUGCCUGGCUUGACAGCAGUGUGUGCGAAAAAGACCUUGGAGUCCUCGUGGGGAGGAAGGUGAACAUGAGCCAGGAAUGUGAUGCGGCUGCUAAGAAAGCCAAUGGGAUUCUGUCCUGCAUCAAUAGGGGAAGAGCGUCUAGAUCCAGGGAAGUCCUGCUCCCCCUUAUUCUAUUCUGCCUUGGUCAGACCACUUUACCUGGAAUCACACUGUGUCCAAUUCUGGGCACCACAGUUGAAGGGAGAUGUUGACAAGCUGGAAAGCGUCCAGAGGAGGGCGACUAAAAUGAUUCAGGGUCUGGAGAACAAGCCCUAUGAGGAGCGGCUUAAAGAGCUGGGCAUGUUUAGCCUGCAGAAGAGAAGGCUGAGAGGAGACAUGAUGAGGGCCAUGGACAAAUACGUGAAGGGAAGUCAUAGGGAGGAGGGAGGGAGCUUGUUUUUUAGACUAGGACACGGAACAAUGGCUUCAAACUACAGGAAAGGAGAUUCCACCUGAACAUCAGGAAGAACUUCCUCACUGUGAGAAGGGCUGUUCGGCAGUGGAACUCUCUCCCCGGGGCCGUGGUGGAGGCUCCUUCCUUGGAGGCUUUGAAGCAGAGGCUGGAUGGCCAUCUGUCGGGGGUGCUUUGAAUGCGAUUUCCUGCUUCUUAGCAGGGGGUUGGACUAGAUGGCCCAUGUGGUCUCUUCCAACUCUACUAUUCUAUGAUUCUAUGAUUCUAUGACUGUUGUCGAGCCAGGCGUCAUCCACCCGGUAUCUGUGCGUUUUGUUUUUUACUGCCCAAGCGGAGUAUCCUACAUUUCUCCUUGUUGAAAUUACCACUUUGUUAGCCUUGGCCAAUCAUGUCUCUAAUCCGUUGAGGUCAUUUUGGAUUCUGCUCCUGUCUUCUGGAGUAUUAGCUCUCCCUCCCCAUUUGGUCUCGUCUGCAAACCUGAUAAGAAUAUAAUUACUAAGGGGUACUUUGCUAGUGCUUUUGGUGCACAAAGGCAGAAGGAAGUUGGACUAAAUGGCCCACGGGGUCUCUUCCAAUCUUCUUUAUCAUCAUCAUCAUCAUCAUCAUCAUCAUCAUCAUCACAGUAGAGUCUCACUUAUCCAAGAUAAAUGGGCCGGCAGAACCUUGGAUAAGCGAAAAUGUUGGAUAAUAAGGAGGGAUUAAGAAAAAAGGCUAUUAAAAAUAAAAUGACAUUACGAUUUUACAAAUCAAGCACCAAAACAUCAUGUUUUGCAACAAAUUGGCAGAAAAAGCAGUUCGAUACACAGUAAUGUUAUGUAGUAAUGACUGUAUUUAUGAAUUUAGCACAAAAACAUUGCAACAUUUACUACAAAAACAUUGACUACUAAAAGGCAGACUGCCUUGGAUAAUCCAGAACAUUGGAUAAGUGAAGCUUGGAUAAGUGAGACUCUACUAUAUUAUUGACACAAAGACACAAUAUAAUACAGCAAAUGAGAUAUAUAUGCAGGAUUUCGUAUCACAAAAUCACAAGUCGAACACUUUCCAAGUGUUUAGGACUGUGUGAUGUAUUAUUACUAUUAACAACAUUGAGGCUGGGUGGCCAUCUGUCAGGGAUGCUUUGCUUGUGUGUUUAGUGCACAAAGGCAGAAGGGGGUUGGACAGGACUUAAUGGCCCAAGGGGUGUCUUCCAACCCUCUUUAUUAUUUUAUUAUGAUUAUGAUUAACAUUGAGGCUGUAUUUAUUCGUUUUAUUUUUUUUACUUCAAAAUAAGGUAUGCACAGUGUGCAUAGGAGUUUGUUCAUUGUUCUUUAAAAAACUAUAGUCCGGCCCUCCAACGGUCUGAGGGACCGUGAACUGGCCCCCUGUUUAAAAAGUUUGGGGACCCCUGGUCUAAGUCAUGAAUAAAGAGGUUGAACAGCACUGGGCCUUGGACAGAACAUUCAUUCUUUUAGAGUAGCCAGGUAUUCCUGAUCUACGUCUUAACCUAUUUUGGAUUGCAUUUCCCCUAUGGCCUUGUCUGCUCCAUAUUGCUCAGAUUGAACACCAAUCUUCACUGCUAAACUACAGUUUCCAAGACCUAGACCAGGGGUCCCCAAACUAAGGCCCGGGGGCCGAAUGCGGCCCUCCAAGGUCAUUUACCUGGCCCCCGCCCUCAGUUUUAUAAUAUAUUUUUAUAUCAGUUUUAAUAAUAUAAUAUAUUGUAUAUACAUAUAAUAUUGAUAAAAAUAUUAUAAUGUUAUACAAUAUAAUACUAAUAAUAAUACCAUAUAAUAAUAUUAAUUAUAUGUUAUAUAUUAUAGUAUUACAAUAUAGUGGUAUAGUUCAAUAUAGUAAUGUAUAAUGCUAAUAUUUUGCUAUGCUAAUAAUAUAAUAUAUUGUAUGUACAUACAGCUGCUCUGAGUCCCCUUCGGGGUAAGAAGGGUGGGAUAUAAAUGUAGUAAAUAAAUAAUUAAUUUUAGACUUAGGCUCACCCAAAUUCUGAAAUGCCUUGAAGGCACACAACAACAACAACAACAAUCCUAAUUAACUUGACUAUCUCAUUGGCCAGUAGCAGGCCCACACUUUCCAUUGAAAUCCUGAUAGUUUUAUGUUGGUUAAGAUUGUUUUCAUUUUUAAAUAUUGUAUUGUUCUUUCAUUGUUAUUGUUGUUG